rnacentral:tmRNA from 1 species
GGGGGUGAAUGGAUUCGACAGGGAUAGAGUGGAUUAUUGAUGCGUGUCGGGGAGCUAACCUACCCGUUAAACUGGUUGGAACGCAUAAAUGCAAACGAAAAUUACGCUUUAGCUGCUUAGGUGGCUACGGUCUUGAUGAGAUGGCAACGUGCUCUGAAAAGAUUGUUAUUCAUUGUUGCUACUUUUAGUUCAUGCUUAUAGGCUAAAGGGAAAUUCAUAAGCUGGGUCAAUCAAAUUUUUGAUUAUUUUAUAUGAUUGA